AAAGCCGGUGGGGACUUGCCAAGAAGCCAGCCCACAAGGCCAUGGACACCUCCACGCCGUCAGCUGGAGAAGUGGACGGCCGCAGGAAGGGAGACAGGAGCAGUGAGGGAAAGGGUGAGGGGUCCCCUGGGAGACCCCCGAGGCUCAGGGCUCAGGCCCCUGGGAUCCAGUCCUGGGCCUCCAUUUUCCACCCUCGAGCAAGCGGCUUCCACCCGUGAGCCAACUGCCUCCUCUGGAAAUGGAAGCCCCUCAACUCAAAGGGUAUCAGGGGCUGGAGCAGGCAGGGAGAGGAGAGAGGAAAGACGGGACGCUCACUUCUGCCUGCCCACAACCUCACUCAGGAGCAGACGGCUCCUCUGCCCGCAGGCACCCCUGCCUGGCAGCUCCCUCCAGCCCCCGUCGGGUCCGGGACGUCCUCUGAUGGGAAGGUCCCACCACAUCCGUGGCUGACAGAGUCAGCCUGUCCAAGGCCGGGGGGCGCUCGGGGUAAACAGGAAGCCCCAUCCCUCCGGCACUCUGCUUCAUUCCCUCCUCCUGCACCUCCUGCAGCCCGGCUCCCACGGCCGCGCCUGGUGCCCCUCAGUCUCGCGCCACCUAAGAUGCCCAGGCUGGCCUCCGCCAGGGGCUUAGUCCACCCUCUCCUGGGGCUGCAGAGGCCAAAAGCACCCUGGUGAGGGGUUCAGGAGGCCCAGGAGGGCCCGGGGGGCUCCGCCAGGCCCCUCCACGCCUCUCUGCCCAGCCAGCACGCUCUGGGAAGCCCCCAGGACCGGGGAGGCACAGGUGGCCCCCAUCACCCGGAGGAGCAGCUCCCGCCCCUGUCCGGGGGAUGACGGAUUCUCCUCCGCCAGGCCACCCAGAGGAGAAGGCCACCCUGCCCGGAGGCACAGGCCAUGUGGGGCUCUCAGGAGAUGCUACUGGUGUGGCUUCUGGUGUUGGCAGCAGGCGGCACGGAGCACGCCUACCGCCCAGGCCGUAGGGUGUGUGCCGUCGGGGCUCACGGGGACCCUGUCUCUGAGUCCUUCGUGCAGCGCGUGUACCAGCCCUUCCUCACCACCUGUGACGGGCACCGGGCCUGCAGCACCUACCGAACCAUCUAUAGGACCGCCUACCGCCGCAGCCCUGGGCUGGCCCCCGCCAGGCCUCGGUACGCAUGCUGCCCCGGCUGGAAGAGGACCAGCGGGCUUCCCGGGGCCUGUGGAGCAGCAAUAUGCCAGCCGCCGUGCCGGAACGGAGGAAGCUGCAUCCAGCCUGGCCGCUGCCGCUGCCCUGCGGGAUGGCAGGGUGACACCUGCCAGUCAGAUGUGGACGAAUGCAGUGCUGGGGGGGCCGGCUGUCCCCAGCGCUGCGUCAACACCGCCGGCAGUUACUGGUGCCAGUGUUGGGAGGGGCACAGCCUGUCUGCAGAUGGUACACACUGCGUGUCCAAGGGAGGGCCCCCCAGGGUGGCCCCCAACCUAACAGGUAAACUCAGCCCUGGCUGGGCCUGGCCUGGGGAGGUGGGCAGCCAGUGGACAUUGCCAUGUGGCUCUGUGUUAGGCACGGUGAGGGGCACUGGAACCUGGGUGGAAGGUGGUGGGGGCUCCCUCUCCAGGGAGGGAAGAUGGGGCGGGAGGACAGGUGGGUUCCUGAGAACUGGGGGCAGGUUGCCUGGAGCCUCACGGUCAGCCAAGAAGGCGGAAGUGCCCGUCUGCGUGCAGUGCAGCAUUCUGGAAGACGCCACGCCCCCGCUGGUGAUGGGACAUUAUUACUUUUGGUACGCGCUGUGACACUUCAAACUCGUACCGUGAGUAAUAAUGCGCUGUCCACAGCACCGCAUCGAAAGCGCCGCUGACACCACAGCUCCGACCUCCCUCAGCGUGGCCGGGACCCUGAGCAGCUGCGCAGAGCCAUGCGCCCCGAUGUACUUAGGUGGCACAGCCCUGAGACCUCUGGCCAGCGCCAGGCGGGCGUCGGGGCCGGCAGAGGCCUGGAUCUGAGUCUUUGGGCUCUGCCUCUCCCUGGGGACAGGAGGGAGCCUGGGGGUGUGGGUGGGGAGCCGGCCGACCCUGACCCAGCGCCUGGCUCUGCCCCCAGGAGUGGACAGUGCCAUGAAGGAGGAAGUGCAGAGGCUGCAGUCCAGGGUGGACCUGCUGGAGGAGAAGCUGCAGCUGGUGCUGGCCCCACUGCACAGCCUGGCCUCGCAGGCACUGGAGCAUGGGCUCCCGGACCCCGGCAGCCUCCUGGUGCACUCCUUCCAGCAGCUGGGCCGUAUCGACUCCCUGAGUGAGCAGAUCUCCUUCCUGGAGGAGCAGCUGGGGUCCUGCUCCUGCAAGAAAGACUCGUGACCGCCCCGGCGCCCCAGGCUGGACUGAGCCCUUCACCCUGCCCUGCAGCCCCCAUGCCCCUGGGCGACAUGCUGGGGGUCGACACCACUUUGGUGUCUCAGUGGAAGGCCAGGCAGGGCCCUCUUGCUCUUCCUCCUCCCCUUCCUCAGGAGGCUCCCAGGGCUCUGGUGUGGGGUGGGCUGUGGUCUUCUGUGUCAAUCCACCCCUAGCCAGCCCAACGGUAUCCCAAGGCCAGGUGGGCCCUCAGCCAAGGGAAGGUACGAGCUCACGGACUCUGCUGGAGACUGGGACCCGUGGCACAGGCCAGGCAGCCCGGAGGCUGGGUGGGGCUUCAGUGGGGGCUGCUGCCUGACCCCCAGCAGAAUAAAAAUGAAAUGUGA